AAGGGGGGAAACCUGAAUGCAGCCAUCCCGCGUGUGCGAUGAAGGCCUUCGGGUUGUAAAGCACUUUUGGCAGGAAAGAAACGUCGUGGGUUAAUACCCCGCGAAACUGACGGUACCUGCAGAAUAAGCACCGGCUAACUACGUGCCAGCAGCCGCGGUAAUACGUAGGGUGCAAGCGUUAAUCGGAAUUACUGGGCGUAAAGCGUGCGCAGGCGGUUCGGAAAGAAAGAUGUGAAAUCCCAGAGCUUAACUUUGGAACUGCAUUUUUAACUGCCGAGCUAGAGUGUGUCAGAGGGAGGUGGAAUUCCGCGUGUAGCAGUGAAAUGCGUAAAUAUGCGGAGGAACACCGAUGGCGAAGGCAGCCUCCUGGGAUAACACUGACGCUCAUGCACGAAAGCGUGGGGAGCAAACAGGAUUAGAAACCCGGGGUAGUCCA
rnacentral:rRNA from 1 species